GAGGGUAUAGCUCAAGUGGUAGAGCACAUGCUUAGCAUGCAGGAGGUCCUGGGCUCAAUCCCCACUACCUCCA
rnacentral:tRNA from 1 species